rnacentral:rRNA from 1 species
UACAGAGGGUGCAAGCGUUGUUCGGAAUCAUUGGGCGUAAAGCGCGUGUAGGCGGCCAUCUAAGUCUGGUGUGAAAGCCCAGGGCUUAACCCUGGAAGUGCACUGGAUACUGGAUGGCUAGAGGACGAGAGAGGACAAUGGAAUUCAUGGUGUAGGGGUGAAAUCCGUAGAUAUCAUGAGGAACAUCUGUGGCGAAGGCGAUUGUCUGGCUCGUUUCUGACGCUGAGACGCGAAAGCGUGGGGAGCAAACAGG